UUAGCAUGGCAGGCCUGAAGCGGGAAUGCCUGUGCACAACUGUGAGGUAGUGACUGUGGGGUGAAGAGAAAGAGUACGGAGGUUGAGAUGACACAAGAUCACACAAGAUUUGGUGUACUCUGGGAUAUACAAGAACACUUUGGAAAUUAACCGAAAGUUAAGCUGUGCACUUGGUUGAAGAGGACAACCUUCCCUGACAGAGGAGGACCAUUCUUCAGUGAAGGGUGUACCAGUAAUUGUGCUUCCCUACUAGAACGUCCAAACAAGCUCUCAAGGACCAUUUAUAGGAGAACAUAGGGUAGUCAAGCCUCCAAGACUCCAGACACGUCCAAAUGAGAUCCAGUUGGUCUUCGCCGGUGCUCAAAGACUAUAGAAGCAAUCUAGUUUUUAGUUCUUGGAUGAGCUAGAACUGAUGGUGACUCUACAGCAAAACUGAAACAAACUGUCAUUUUAUGGACAAUGUCUAUUUAUCUUUCCCACAUUAUUAGAGUCAGUGGUUGAAUUGGGAGGCAAGAGAGUGGCUAUAGCCAUAACACUGCAUACUUAUUGGCUGAGGAAGAAGCGAGCUGGUGUCAAAUUCUCCUGUCAUGUUCUUAUCCUUAAGAUAUCUUGACUAUGAACAAUAGUUUCAAUAAGGAAGACAGAAUGAGUUCUGACAGGAAGGUUGGGAGCUGUGACGGGCAGGAGAGGAAUGAAGCCAAACAGCAUGGAGAUGUGUCAUCACCACUGGGUUUUACCUUGCUUUACAUUCAGUUACUUGUUUUUCUUUCAAAGUGCUCGGCACUUAUUCAAGAAACAGCAUAUACGUUCUGACUUUGAAGUAAAAGAUGAAC